AGUGAACGCUGGCGGCGUGCUUAACACAUGCAAGUCGAACGGUAACAGGAACUAGCUUGCUAGUUUGCUGACGAGUGGCGCACGGGUGAGUAAUAUAUAGUUAAAUGUACCCCAAAGACUGGGAUAGCCACUGGAAACGGUGAUUAAUACUAGAUACACCUCUUUAACAUAAGUUAGAGAGGGAAAUGGUCUUUUCGCUUUGGGAUCAGACUAUAUCCUAUCAGUUAGUUGGUGAGGUAAUGGCUCACCAAGGCAAUGACGGGUAGCGGUUUGAGAGGAUGAUCCGCCACACUGGUACUGAGACACGGACCAGACUCCUACGGGAGGCAGCAGUGAGGAAUAUUGCACAAUGGA
rnacentral:rRNA from 1 species